AUAACGGUCCUAAGGUAGCGAAAUUCCUUGUCGGGUAAGUUCCGACCUGCACGAAUGGCAUAACGAUGGCCACACUGUCUCCUCCCGAGACUCAGUGAAGUUGAAAUGUUUGUGAUGAUGCAAUCUACCCGCGGCUAGACGGAAAGACCCCAUGAACCUUUACUGCAGCUUUGCAUUGAACUGUGAACCGAUUUGUGUAGGAUAGGUGGGAGGCAGAGAAGAGGCCACGCCAGUGGUCUUGGAGCCGACCUUGAAAUACCACCCUGAUUUGUUUGCGGUUCUAACCACGGACAGUGAUCCUGUCUUGGGACCGUGCAUGGUAGGCAGUUUGACUGGGGCGGUCUCCUCCUAAAGGGUAACGGAGGAGUACGAAGGUACGCUAGGUACGGUCGGAAAUCGUGCUGAUAGUGCAAUGGCAAAAGCGUGCUUGACUGCGAGAGCAACAACUCGAGCAGAUGCGAAAGCAGGUCAUAGUGAUCCGGUGGCUCUGAAUGGAAGGGCCAUCGCUCAACGGAUAAAAGGUACUCUGGGGAUAACAGGCUGAUACCGCCCAAGAGUUCAUAUCGACGGCGGUGUUUGGCACCUCGAUGUCGGCUCAUCUCAUCCUGGGGCUGUAGUCGGUCCCAAGGGUAUGGCUGUUCGCCAUUUAAAGAGGUACGUGAGCUGGGUUUAAAACGUCGUGAGACAGUUUGGUCCCUAUCUGCCGUGGGCGUUGGAAGAUUGACGGGGGCUGCUCCUAGUACGAGAGGACCGGAGUGGACGCACCUCUGGUGUACCGGUUGUCACGCCAGUGGCAUUGCCGGGUAGCUAAGUGCGGAAGAGAUAACCGCUGAAAGCAUCUAAGCGGGAAACUUGCCUGAAGAUGAGUCUUCCCGGAGGUAAAACCUCCCUCAAGAGUCGUCCGAGACCAGGACGUCGAUAGGUCAGGUGUGUAAGCGCUGUGAGGCGUUGAGCUAACUGAUACUAAUUGCUCGUGAGGCUUGAUCCU
rnacentral:rRNA from 1 species